AAGCAUAUCAAUAAGCGGAGGAAAAGAAACCAACUGGGAUUGCCUUAGUAACGGCGAGUGAAGCGGCAAUAGCUCAAAUUUGAAAGCUGGCCCCUUUGGGGUCCGCGUUGUAAUUUGUAGAGGAUGAUUCGGCGAGGGCUCCCGUCUAAGUCCCCUGGAACGGGGCGUCAUAGAGGGUGAGAAUCCCGUAUGUGAUGGGUUGCCUUAGCCAUGUGAAUCUCCUUCGACGAGUCGAGUUGUUUGGGAAUGCAGCUCUAAAUGGGAGGUAAAUUUCUUCUAAAGCUAAAUACCGGCCAGAGACCGAUAGCGCACAAGUAGAGUGAUCGAAAGAUGAAAAGCACUUUGGAAAGAGAGUUAAAAAGUACGUGAAAUUGUUGAAAGGGAAGCGCUUGCAGCCAGACUUGUCCGCAGUUGCUCAGCCGGUCUCCUGACCGGCGUACUCUUCUGCGGCCAGGCCAGCAUCAGUUCGGGCGGUCGGAUAAAGACCCCAGGAAUGUAGCUCCUCUCGGGGAGUGUUAUAGCCUGGGGUGGAAUGCGGCCAGCCUGGACUGAGGAUCUCGCUUCGGCUAGGAUGCUGGCGUAAUGGCUGUAAGCGG
rnacentral:rRNA from 1 species